rnacentral:sRNA from 1 species
GGGAGACAUGGUUCAUUUCAUAGCAUAUGGGAAAGGCUUGAGGGAAGAGCAAGUUUAGGAGAUGAGUACAAGAGCUCAGGGCCUCUGAUCUGGACAUGAUCUUCAUCAGAUCACACUCCAGCUAUGACAGUGAUUGUCCAAGCUCCAUUCCCUCUCUCUCCUCCCAGACUAGGACAUCAUCUUCUUCUGGGUUCCCACAUCAUUCUAGGUUCCAAUGGCACUUGUCUUACUUGAUGCCAGGAUGUGGGAUUUGGGAACAUGGUUUCAUCUCUCCAACCGCAAUACCAGCAACUUUCAGGCAACUGUCUGACGCCACACAGCAAAUCUGCCCCAGGGCAGAGGGGGCACUAGAUAGGCAGUAACUGGGAGCACAGGCAGAGAGGCUGGCAUGAAGAAACCUGCCCAUGGGAAGCAGGGCCAAUCCCACCUAGGCUGGGUUCAAGGAUGUGGCCAAAAAAGCAGAACUUCCAACAAACUUGGAAAACUAGUCAGGUUACUGAAACAGGAACUUAAGCUUCUCAGCAAAUUAGACAUAACAGAUGUAAACUGGAAAAAUCAGUGAACUUGAAGAUUGAGCAACAGAAAUGAUCUAAAGAAACAUAAAGAGAGAAAAGAAGGCUGGGGGACAGAACAGAGCACCCAAGCAUUGUGAGACAACAUAAAAUGAUCUAACAUAUGUAUAGUUGGGAUCUCAUUAAGAAAAGAGAGCAGAGUAGAAGAACUAUUUGAAGAGAUAAUGGCCAAGAACUUGUUAAAGAAAGGCAACAUACCACAAAUCCAAGAUACUCAGAGAAACUUAAUGAGAAUUAAAAAAAAAAAUUCACCCAGAUAUAUCAUGAUCAAACUGCUAAAAACAAAAGAUAAACUCUGAAGACAACCAAGGAAAAAAGAAUGCCGGCGUCCCC